CCAGCGGGCUCCGUCCCGUACCAUCCCCGGCACUUCAGGGGAAGGAGACGAGCGCAAAGAGUCGCCAGGAAGAGCGGACAAACCGCAAGAAAUCGCUGCCAGCUUAGAGGGGCACACAGCCAUCCCGCAGGACAGGGGGCGGGGAGGGGGGGGCACCCAAAACCCAAGCCAACCCCACGCGAACGACACCGGCGCUUACAUCCUCCUCCUCGCAGUCACUUCGCGACUGGUACUGGAAGCGGGGCCGGCUGCCUUCCUGUUGCAAUGGACGCGGGGUCUUGCCGGCAGCGCCGUCCUCCUCGCUGCUCUGGGCGCCCAGGAGGUGACUCGCUUCGGGGGGAACGGGGAACGAGCGGGAGGUGUUGAUCUUCCCGCUGAACCGCUGGUACAGUGAAGCCAUGAACUACAGCAUGCUACACGCGGGUGAGGAUCAGUCCCACAUCAGUGGGAGGGAGAGCGAGGAGGAUCCUGCUCCCCGGUCCUCUGCACCGGCACCCGGAGAGAAGCCGGGGGAUUCAAGAGAGCAGAAACGGGGGAGUGAUGAGAGGAAGAAGACAGAAGAUAGAUAAAUAAAUAAUAAAACGCAAUCGAGCCGUAACACCACAGGCCCCGGGAACGCUGCACCAUCCAGUGUUGGGAAGGGGGAAAAAAAAAAUAGAAGAGGAAAAAAAAGAACCAAAACACUCCACGAAGACGUACCCCCGAUAAUGGCGCCUGAGUGGAUCAGCAUUAAAUGUGCUUUGGGGGUGUGCGUGUGUGUUUGCAAAAGCAGGGAAAAAAAAAGAAAAAAAAAAAAAAAAAAAAAAAAAAAAAAAAAAAAAAAAAAAAAAAAAAAAAGGAAGGGGGGCUGGCUCAAUCGCUGGCUGUCAGCGGCUCCCCAGGCAGAGGUGGCGGAGCAGUCGCCUCCGAGGUCGCAUACCAACAGUGUGCA